GUAGCUAUAGCUCAGUGGUAGAGCGCCCAUGAUCAAAGCGGGAGGUCCAGAGAUCGAUUCUCGUUGCUACU